rnacentral:sRNA from 1 species
CCUAUGACGAGUACUAGAAAACAUCUAGAACGGCCGUUCACUAUGGACACGAAAAAACGUAACAAGACCGAACGUUCAAUGGAGAAUAAACCCAUCAAGACCGAACGUUCAACUAACAUAAGAAAAUGACCGAACGCUAUUUGCUGAACACCACAAUAGGACGAGCGGAACGAUCGUAAUCAAAACUUACUGUUUGGCCGAUCGUUCAAAACCGAACGCCGGACGAGCGGUAGAUGAGGAGGAGCGUCCUCAGACCAUUUUAAAACACAGCACCGCCUAUGUCGAACGGUAACACUAUGAGACCAAACGUUCAGUUUGAGAAUAAAC